GAUGAACGCUGGCGGCGUGCCUAAUACAUGCAAGUCGAACGCAUUGAGAGAAGUGCUUGCACUUUUCAAUUUGAGUGGCGAACGGGUGAGUAACACGUGGGCAACCUACCUGAUAGCGGGGGAUAACGAGUGGAAACAUUCGCUAAUACCGCAUAACAAUAGAGAAGGCAUCUUCUUUAUUUAAAAGGCGCUUUCAAGCGUCACUAUCAGAUGGGCCCGCGGUGCAUUAGUUAGUUGGUGGGGUGAAGGCCUACCAAGACGAUGAUGCAUAGCCGGGUUGAGAGACUGAUCGGCCACAUUGGGACUGAGAAACUGCCCAAACUCCUACGGGAGGCUGCAGUAGGGAAUCUUCCACAAUGGACGAAAGUCUGAUGGAGCAACGCCGCGUGUGUGAUGAAGGCUUUCGGGUCGUAAAGCACUGUUGUAUGGGAAGAAAUGCUAGGCUAGGAAAUGAGCUUAGUUUGACGGUACCAUACCAGAAAGGGACGGCUAAAUACGUGCCAGCCGCCGCCGUAA
rnacentral:rRNA from 1 species